CUUCACUGACUGGUCAGAGCAUAUGACACAGAUAUUCAGACCCUGCCUUUGAGCGUAAUACUUCUUCCUUCUGCCACGACUUGCUGAUCAAAGAAUGAGCUCAGGACUUAAGGUCCUGGAAAACCUCAAUUUGUGAGUAAUUAUAUUUAAGUGUGCGUGAAUUGUGCAACGCUCUAUAUAUUUAGUCUUUGAUAUUAAAUCUUUCAAACUUCUUAAUUAUAUCUCCAGGGAAGUCGUUCUACUUAAUGUCCACGCUUAAAGAGUUGAGCCAAUCUGUUAAGAAAGGAAUCACAUCAAACUCCUCCACGCAAACGAAGGUUACCCCUGCAGGCCAGAUUCCCCUGUUCCACUACACAGAGCGCUAACUCUCUCGUCACCAUUUUUAAAUGAUUAAACUUGUCCUUUUGCUCUGG